GUAAUGUAGCAGACAGACGAUGUGAAGGUUACAGUAUGUAAUGUAGCAGACAGACGAUGUGCAGGUACAGUAUGUAAUGUAGCAGACAGUUAGAGGAUGUGCAGGUACAGUAUGUAAUGUAGCAGACAGUUAGAGGAUGUGCAG